GACGAACGCUGGCGGCGUGCUUAACACAUGCAAGUCGAACGAUGAAGCUGGAGCUUGCUCCAGUGGAUUAGUGGCGAACGGGUGAGUAACACGUGAGCAAUCUGCCCUUGACUCUGGGAUAACUGCGGGAAACUGUAGCUAAUACCGGAUACGACACCUUGGGGCAUCCCGGGGUGUGGAAAGAAUUUCGGUCAAGGAUGAGCUCGCGGCCUAUCAGCUUGUUGGUGAGGUAAAGGCUCACCAAGGCGACGACGGGUAGCCGGCCUGAGAGGGUGACCGGCCACACUGGAACUGAGACACGGUCCAGACUCCUACGGGAGGCAGCAGUGGGGAAUAUUGCACGAUGGGCGAAAGCCUGAUGCAGCAACGCCGCGUGAGGGAUGACGGCCUUCGGGUUGUAAACCUCUUUUAGCAGGGAAGAAGCGAAAGUGACGGUACCUGCAGAAAAAGCACCGGCUAACUACGUGCCAGCAGCCGCCGUAA
rnacentral:rRNA from 1 species